AGUGAACGCUGGCGGUAGGCCUAACACAUGCAAGUCGAACGGCAGCACAGAGGAGCUUGCUCCUUGGGUGGCGAGUGGCGGACGGGUGAGGAAUACAUCGGAAUCUACUUUUUCGUGGGGGAUAACGUAGGGAAACUUACGCUAAUACCGCAUACGACCUACGGGUGAAAGCAGGGGAUCUUCGGACCUCGCGCGAUUGAAUGAGCCGGUGUCGGAUUAGCUAGUUGGCGGGGUAAAGGCCCACCAAGGCGACGAUCCGUAGCUGGUCUGAGAGGAUGAUCAGCCACACUGGAACUGAGACACGGUCCAGACUCCUACGGGAGGCAGCAGUGGGGAAUAUUGGACAAUGGGCGCAAGCCUGAUCCAGCCAUACCGCGUGGGUGAAGAAGGCCUUCGGGUUGUAAAGCCCUUUUGUUGGGAAAGAAAUCCAGCCGGCUAAUACCUGGUUGGGAUGACGGUACCCAAAGAAUAAGCACCGGCUAACUUCGUGCCAGCAGCCGCCGUAA
rnacentral:rRNA from 1 species